GCCGCAGGAGCGACCCAAGAAAUAGCAAAAAGGACAAAAAAAAAAAAAAAAAAAAAAAAAAAAAAAAAAAAAAAAAAAAAGAAAUGUUAGGCAUAGUGUUCAUUCACUUAAAGAAAGUUAUAUUUAAUGAGGAAUACACAUAGCUAAUUGUUUAACAGACUGUAGCAUCAGUGUUUGUGAGUGUAUGUUGAGCUGAGAAAAGCCUAGCAUUUUACUUUAUUUUGCUUUUUAGGGCCACACCUGCAGCAUAUGGCAGUUCCCAGGCUAGGGGUUGAAUUGGAGCUGUAGCUGCCGGCCUACAUAACAGCCACAGCAAUGCGGGAUCCCAGAGACGUCUGUGCCCUAUACCACCCCUCACGGUAAUGCUGGAUCCUUCCACCAAGCAGGGCCAGGGAUCAAACCCUCAUCCUUAUGGAUACUAGUUGGUUUCUUUUCCACUGUGCCACAAGGGGAAUUCCCAAGUCUAGCAUUUUAGCAAUGAAUAUAUGUAAAGAUCUUACCUUUUGCCUUUAAGUCAUUUUCUGAUAUUAGAUAUACAUAGAACUUUAUUACAAGCUAUAUGAAAGAAUUUAUAAGCCCAGCCCAACUAUAUUUCAGUGAAAAACUUAUAUGUGAAUCAUGCGUCUUGGGUUGUAUAACAGAGUUUUUCCCACACUAGAGUUAUAUAGAUGCCUCUUACAAGCUACAUGAAGGAAAUUUUUGGCACAUUCAUCAAUGAAAAAGUUAUAUACAUGAGAAAUGCAUGUGGUGAAUUAUUUAACAGACCUAUAACUUCAAAGUUUCCAUGCAUGCACUGUAGUUAUGAAAAGAAUAGUUUUCUAAUAAGGAAUACACAUAAAAAUCUUCUGUUUGCAGAUGAAGCUAUAUUUUCAGAUAUGAUAGAUUGUCAUUACAAGCCAUAUGAAAGAAAUUUUAGGCACAGUGUUCUUUCAGUGAAAGGAAAUUAUAUUCUGUGUCAUGCAUGUAGUAGACUUUAUAAUUUUGUAAUAACCUGUAGCUCUAAUGUUUAUAAGGCUACUUUGACUCUGCAUGAAGUCCAGUGUUCUAACAGCAAAUAGAUGUGAACACCUUUUGAGUCUGUGUAAUAAUGUACUAAAUUUGAUAUAUAUUGAUGUUUGUUACAAGCUAUGUGAAAAAAUUUUGGACAGUGUUCUUUCAGCUAAUGGAGGUGUCCUGCAGCGAGUCUUAUUUAACAAAUUUGUAACACUUGUAAGUAGGAUUGCUUAGAAGCUACAGUAUGUUCAGUGUUCUAAUAGCAAAUGGAUAUGGAAGUCUUUCCCAUUGUAUAUAAAGAUUUGUCACACACACACAUACAUGUAUAUAAAAAAUUAUAUAUAGAGUGUUAUAUGCAUACAUAUAGUGUAUAUAUAUGUGUAUGUGUGUGUAUAUAUAUAUGUUAUAUUAUUACAAGCUAAUGAAAGAAAUUUUUGGUAUUGUGUUUCCUCAGUAAAAAGAAGUUAUACCCAUAUUUGACCCAUGUAUUGAACUGUUUAAUAGACCUAUAUCACUACUUAGUUUCUAAGGCUACGUAGAAGCUGUGCUAAGCUCUGCGUUCUAACAGUGUAGGAAAUUGAAAUCCUUUCCCUUUAUCUGUAAAGGCUUGUUCGCAUGUUAAUAUACAUAUUUGUCAUGAAAUUAAUUUUUGGCAAAGUGUUUUUUCAGUGAAAGGAGGUUGUACACAGUGAUCCAUGUCAGUGAACAGUUUAACAGUUAUAGAACACUUGUGUUUCUAAAGCCUUCUUUAAAUUUUUUCUUUUUAGGGCCACACCUGCAGCACAUGGAGGUUCUCAGGCUAGGGGUCUAAUCAGAGCUAUUCCUGCCAGCCUACGCCAGAGCCACAGCAGAGCAGCAUCCGAGCUGCAUCUGCAACCUACACUACAGCUCACGGCAACACCAUAUCCUUAACCCACUGAAUGAGGCCAGGGAUUGAACCCACAACCUCACGGUUCCUAGUCGGAUUCGUUUCCACUGCACCACGAUGGAAACUCCUCUAAAGCCUUUUAAUUCAAAGAGGAACGUGAGAGUUUCUACUUCAUUUAAAUUAGCAAAGGGAAAAAACCCCACAACUCCUGGGCUAUGCUGUAAAUUAAAACGGGAUUUUACUAAAACAACAUUCAAAUCUAUCAUGUGCUAUUUACAAUAAUAAAUAAUAGUCUUUCAAAAUAGGUAAAGGAGUCUUGGGAAUGAGGCAUCAGGGAGAUGGUGCCAGCUCACAUCAAGUCCCUAUGCUGCCUCUCUGCCACAGUGAAUGUCGCAUUGUCACUGGACACACAUUUGCCCCUGAUUUUGAUGAGUGCCAAUUCUUCUUGGCCUUGAGUUUUCUGUUGCCCAGAUAGGACUUGGCCUCCAGCUAGCAGGACAAGAGGUAGGUAUAGGAGAGAGUGGUACCUGUGAGUUCCCAGGAGCCACAAUUCAGGUGUCACUCACAGUGUCUGCCCAGCAGCUGGAAUUCCAGUGAUGGCCAUGCAACAAGGUCUAGGGAUGACCAAGAAGAUGUGAACUUGGGUUCUCUAAAUUGGCUGGUAGGGAGAGUCCACUCCACCUCUCCCUUCUGCUCAGCCUCACCUCCCAUUCUCACUGAACCACUCCAUGUCUCAGAAUCAGACAUCAAAUUGCUCCUCAGGCUCUCUAUCUGUAGCCACCCAGAGCAGCAUGAUCUCUGCCAUUACUGUGCAUUCCUGGGACCAGAGGGAAGGAGAUGAUGGAGGGGUGAGGAGAGAGGCAGGGCAUUGGUCCUGGGUCUUUGCACACACGAGACUCCACCUUCCCUCCAUUUGCAUCAAGGUCCUACCUGUUCUCAGAAAUGGAAUAAAUUUCCUGCAGGAAAUUUUCCUUGGUGCCGUUCCUCAACCCACCCACCAGUUGGAUAGGUCUCCCACUCCUCUGUUAUUAAACUCUCCCUGUAAAUGUAAGGCACAGGGGAUGGAGACCUGGAGGUUUCUGCCCAGGGGUACUUCUGAUUUCUGUUCCCUUCCCCUCUUCCAUAGGAAGUGCCAAGCUCUUGCCUUAUUCUUUUUCUGGUGGUUGAUCUCAUUCUCUAAGGUAGACAGACACCUGAAAGGGUCCCCUAGUCGUUACUAGCACCCUAUGCCCACCCUUUUCAUGUGGCACUACCAUCAGGCCUCACAAAGGGGCUGGGCUUGCCUAGAAAACGGGAUGUAAACCUUGGUCAGGUCGUGGCCCCCAAGAGCGUGGGACAUGGAGGCCGAGGCUCAGGGAUCUUGUAGCACAACCCUCAGUGACGACACUCAGAACCUGAGGCUUUAGGCUCCCUCUCUUCUUUGUUGCUGGACUUGUGGGUCCCCCAUAUCACUCUCACCCCAUGGACACCACCUGAAGGAGAGGCUAAGUCCAGCUUUGCGGUCAGGCAGAUCUACUGCUCUGCCAGCCUUGAAAACUGGGACCAGUGUGUAUUCUGUGGAGCCUCCUUUCACUCAUCUUUAAAAUGGACAUGAUGUCCCAGCUCACAGGGGUGGUGGGGAGCCUCUCCUCAGAGGUUUCCUGAGUGCUGACCAUUGAGGGCUCAGCUACAGGUCUCUCUCUUCCCAAACCUCAAUUCUGAUCCCCCUGGCCUAGCCCACAGGCCCCCUUACCUGGCCCAGAUAAUUCUCCCUCACCGGGCCCAGCAUGACCUGAUUAAUGAAGAUUGUGCUAAGGAAGGGGACAGACACCUGUGUCAUCAGGGAGGGGGGUGGGAUGAGCCUCUACUCCCAGAUUUGCCUGGGUCCCCUCUCUUGAAAACUCCUCACCCUCAGCUCCUGGCCUUGCCCCAGGUUUUCCUCAAGGAGCAGCCUAGGAGGAGCCUUAAUAAUCUCCUUUCAAUUUCCCUCCCCCCACUCUCCAAGAAUAUAAGACUCCUGUGCAGACCUUCUGUAGCAUCUUCUGGGCUUAAUGGAGGUUCACCAUCAAGGGGCGAACAUGGAGGGCUGCUCCUGUCAGGGCCGAGGACAGGGUCAUUGAGGCCAUACUACCCCCACCAACCUCCCAUUUUUGUCCAGUACCUGAGACCUCAGACCCUGACAUCUGAUCCAUGUUAGCUGAUACUCCAUUCUCCAGCAUGCUCUGAUUCUAGACUAAUCCCACCUCCAAAACUCACUCAGUGUGUGCUUUUGGCCCUGCAGCCUGCCCCUGCCCCCCAUGAGCCUGUUUCUUCAUCUGAAAAGUGUAGGAAUCCCAGCUACCACAAGGGUCUCCUGAAGACUCCACCCUUCGCACUGUGAUGCUGUCAUCAUUGUUCUUGUAUCAGCCUGCAGCUGUAUCGGGACAGAAAGAACCUCACAUUCCUGUCUUCCCUUUUACCUCAUCGCCACCCUGUGAGGCCCGCACCAGAGGCUUAUUAUCCCUCCGCUUUCCAGAUGAGGAGGCAGAGGCCAAAGAGAUGCAGUGAGGCUUAGGGGUCCACAGAGGACAGGCUGCACCUCCUGUUAGCCAGAGGCCCUGUUCCAGCUUCCCUCAUCCACCCCAGUCCCACCUGGAAUGAGAUGUCCUGUCCACUUGACUCUCAAGUUUGUCCAGGCCCCUAUCUGAGUGGAGCUGUGGAUGGAGAGGGAUGGGGUGGUUGGAAGUCUGGUUUUAGUUCCCUGCCUGCCCCAGAUCCGCUGGAGCCUCUGCCACUCAGGCUGGAACCAAAGCCAUGCUGAUGCCUUCCCUGCCCCAGGAUCAGCUUAUAACAUUCCCCUGUAUAGCAGUUUCUUUUUAUCUACUCAGUAACAUAACCCCUGAGGUACCGCCUCUGACUGAUGGGGUAGGAGGUGACAGAAACUUUGCUUGCUCCUUUACGUGAAGCUUCUAAAGUCCUUUCAGGAAAGGUCCACUAAGAAUUCAUAAGAUGCUCAGACACUUCUCAUCAGCCACCUGGGGCAUGUGUCACAGUUAACUAGGCACCCAGGUGAGAAUCCCGACUGUGACUGACUAGCAGCAACUGUGUGCGGGGCACAGUGGGGAGUCACAGACGGCAUGUAUAUCUUGUCUCUAUUCCAGCCAUUUGUACCCAAGGCUGGGCAGUGCAUCAUACACCUGGCCCAUGGGCUUCCCCUGCAGUACCCAUCCUUGGGGCAAGAAGGAUGCACUACCCUUGGAGGUGUGGUGAGUACAGAGGAGCUGCAGGAACCUGGGUUCCUGAGAACAGACUGGGUUGGUUUAGGGAAGAAAGUUGCCUCCUCCCACCCAUCCAUUCAACAGCCUAGAAAAAGCUAAGUGCCAGCAGGAUGGACCAGCAUGGAAGCCAAAGAUCUGCUAAUUUUGUUAUCUCAGCAUCCCCUCCUAGAAUAGCCCAGCCAUCACUUUACCUCAUUACUAAGAUCUCCUGCCCUUCAACCUGACUUUGGACAAAACUCUCCUUCUUCCUCUUAAGCCAGAAAAUACUGGAAUUUUUCAAAGAAUCUUUAGGCAAGAC
ensembl:lncRNA